rnacentral:rRNA from 1 species
CCUCGUGAAUUCAUCUCCGGGGGUAGAGCACUGUUUCGGCAAGGGGGUCAUCCCGACUUACCAACCCGAUGCAAACUGCGAAUACCGGAGAAUGUUAUCACGGGAGACACACGGCGGGUGCUAACGUCCGUCGUGAAGAGGGAAACAACCCAGACCGCCAGCUAAGGUCCCAAAGUCAUGGUUAAGUGGGAAACGAUGUGGGAAGGCCCAGACAGCCAGGAUGUUGGCUUAGAAGCAGCCAUCAUUUAAAGAAAGCGUAAUAGCUCACUGGUCGAGUCGGCCUGCGCGGAAGAUGUAACGGGGCUAAACCAUGCACCGAAGCUGCGGCAGCGACACUGUGUGUUGUUGGGUAGGGGAGCGUUCUGUAAGCCUGUGAAGGUGUGCUGUGAGGCAUGCUGGAGGUAUCAGAAGUGCGAAUGCUGACAUAAGUAACGAUAAAGCGGGUGAAAAGCCCGCUCGCCGGAAGACCAAGGGUUCCUGUCCAACGUUAAUCGGGGCAGGGUGAGUCGACCCCUAAGGCGAGGCCGAAAGGCGUAGUCGAUGGGAAACAGGUUAAUAUUCCUGUACU